rnacentral:rRNA from 1 species
GGACGAACGCUGGCGGCACGCCUAACACAUGCAAGUCGAACGGACUUAAAAGAGCUUGCUUUUUUAAGUUAGUGGCGGACGGGUGAGUAACACGUGAGCAACCUGCCUCUGAGAGGGGGAUAGCUUCUGGAAACGGAUGGUAAUACCCCAUAAAAUAUAAAUAUCGCAUGAUAGAUAUAUCAAAGAAAUUCGCUCAGAGAUGGGCUCGCGUCUGAUUAGAUAGUUGGUGAGGUAACGGCUCACCAAGUCGACGAUCAGUAGCCGGACUGAGAGGUUGAACGGCCACAUUGGGACUGAGACACGGCCCAGACUCCUACGGGAGGCAGCAGUGGGGAAUAUUGCACAAUGGAGGGAACUCUGAUGCAGCGAUGCCGCGUGGAGGAAGAAGGUUUUCGGAUUGUAAACUCCUUUUAUCAGGGACGAUAAUGACGGUACCUGAAGAAAAAGCUCCGGCUAACUACGUG